ensembl:snRNA U4 U4 spliceosomal RNA
AGCUUUGCACAGGGCAGUAUCGUAGCCAGUGAAGUUUGUCCUAGGCGCGAUUAUUGCUAAUUAAAAUUUCACUUGUUUUAAUCUCUUUGAACAUGGCUCACGUGGUAUUUCUAUUGGUUGGUGCUGCUCUAGAUCC